rnacentral:rRNA from 1 species
AUUGAGCGCUGGCGGCAGGCCUAACACAUGCAAGUCGAGCGGAGCGGCGGACGGGUGAGUAAUGCCUAGGAAUCUGCCUGGUAGUCGGGGAUAACGUCCGGCAACGGGCGCUAAUACCGCAUACUGUCCGAUGAUCCUAGGUCGGAUUCGCUGGUUGGUGGGGUAAAGGCCUACCAGGGCGACUAUCCGUAACGGGUCUGAGAGGAUGAUCAGUAACAGUGGAACUGGGAAACGGUCCAGACUCCUACGGGAGGCAGAAGAGGGAAAGAUUGGAGAAUGGGCGAAAGCCUGAUCCGGCCAUGCGACGUGUGGGAAGAAGGUCUUCGGAUUGUAAAGCACGUUAAGUUGGGAGGCGUUACCAAAAGAAUAAGCACCGGCUAACUUCGUGCCAGCAGCCGCGGUAAUAC